rnacentral:rRNA from 1 species
AGAGCGAACGCUGGCGGCAGGCCUAACACAUGCAAGUCGAGCGCCCCGCAAGGGGAGCGGCAGACGGGAGAGUAACACGUGGGAACGUACCCUUCAGUUCGGAACAACCCAGGGAAACUUGGGCUAAUACCGGAUACGUCCGUAAGGAGAAAGAUUUAUCGCUGAAGGAUCGGCCCGCGUCUGAUUAGCUAGUUGGUGGGGUAACGCUCACCAAGGCGACGAUCAGUAGCUGGUCUGAGAGGAUGAUCAGCCUCACUGGGACUGAGACACGGCCCAGACUCCUACGGGAGGCAGCAGUGGGGAAUAUUGGACAAUGGGCGCAAGCCUGAUCCAGCCAUGCCGCGUGGGUGAUGAAGGCCCUAGGGUUGUAAAGCCCUUUCGGCGGGGAAGAUAAUGACGGUACCCGCAGAAGAAGCCCCGGCUAACUUCGCGCCAGCAGCCGC